GCGCGGGAUAGCGCGACGCGAGCCAGCCUGGAGGCGCGGGGGUCACUGGGCAUGCGCACGGCGAGUGCCCCGCCCUCUCUGCGCUCCGCGAAAUCCGCUCUUCCGGGACGCGUCUGCGGCCAGGGCGGGAGGCUGGCGGGAGCUGAGACCCAGCGCGGGAGGGCCUGACCCCGCCUCGCCGCGCCUUGCGGGGCUGCGGGGUCGCGGGUUUAUCUCUCCUCUUGGGGGUAACGAGGACAACGGUGCCUAGCCCCUGAAUUAGCCUUCUGUUUCCAUUAGUGACUUAGAAGCUUCCCGGCGCCUCACCUGCGCUCACCUGAGCCGAGGGUCAGGAAGCGGAGGGGGCACAGUCACUGCCUUGCGGGCGCGGCUGGACCCCGCGGACCACUUUGUGCGGACUUUCGGCGCCUUCCGCCCCCACUCCAGCCCGACACCCCUGGGGCCGGCGCGCCACGUUACAGCUCCCGGCCCGACCCACUGCCCUGCCGGCUCGGGGGACCUGGGCCUCCGAUCCCGGGGUUGGGGAACCCCGAGACCUCAGACCCCACUGGGACCCCCGGAGACCUCAGACCCCCGCGGGAGGACCUCGAGAUCUCAGAUCCUCAGUAGGGGAGUGAAUGAGACUUCGGGUGCCUGAGGCAGCAAAUUCCUGUGGGGACACCCGAGGACCUCAGAUCUCCGCGGGGUGACCCCAAACCUCACAUUCAGGCAACUGCCAGGCCGCCGAUCCGCCGGGGACUCCCCACUAUCCCGGGCGAGCCCCCUCAAGGGCUGGGUCCUCCAGCAGCUCUGCACUGCGGUCUCCCAGGCUCAAACUUCCCGCCCUCGGAGGCCCGCCCCGGAAGCAACCCCAGUCAGGGGAAGUUACCUGCCUAGUCCAAGGUGCUUACUGACCACCUCCAGUGACCCUGGCACAGUGUGUGGAAGGAUCUGCAGAUACUGCAGUGAACCAAGUAGACAGGGUCCCUUCCUCAGGAAAGGGAGAAGAAUACGCCAUCAAGAAGCAGGUUUUCCAAAAGAAUUUUCUGUGGACUAA
rnacentral:lncRNA from 13 species